GGCAAAUCUAGAAAUGUUUAAGGACUAGAGGUUGAAGGUGGUGGGGAGAAAAAUGGAAUGGAGGGGAAAGUGGUUGGGAUUGAAGGAAGGUUUGGAAGUGAAGUGACUGCUGGCAAUGGUGGAAUGUUGAGAGAUGGAAUUGUUGGAAUAUUUGUAGGAAGACUUGGAAGUGGUGGCAUAGUGAGUUUAGGCAUAGAAGGGAUAGUAGGCAAUGGAGGAAGAUUUCCUUGAGGCAUAUUUGGAAUUGAAGGUAAAGGUGGUAAUGUUGUUGGUUUUGGUAAAGUGGGAAUGGUUGGUAAAUUUGGUUGUGUGGUAGUUUGCAAAAGAUGGCGAGCUUCUAGGCUCAUGUUUGAUAUUGUCACAACUAGAAGUAAAGUUGUGAUGAAGGAUUUGAAUAUUGCCAUUGAUAGUUUGAUGAGGAAUAAUUGUAGGAGCUAAGGAGAGUAUAUUUUGUAUAGAGAGAAUUUGAUUUGGGAUUUGAUGAGAAGCAUAGGGAUAGUGGGUGGUCUUAUAUAGAUUGAGAUAGAUUUGAAGGAGGGUAGUUCGGAAGAACCAUCAAGAGCUUUUGCAAUUUUUAGUUAGUUCAACUUAUUGGGUUUCACUUUGACAAAAGGGAGCCAAUUAAUUAUAAAUAUAAAUACACUAAAAUACCAUUUUUUUUAAAUUACAUAUUCGAUAGUCCCUACAUCCUAUAAUCAUACUAAUAACAAAGGUUAAUAUGUUAAUUGUUUUCUUCUUAUCAGGACUUGAAUCUAGGACCUUCAAUUCAUUAAUUCUUAACUCAAAUCAGUUUAGUAAAUGAUAUAAGAGAAGAUUACAAGAAUUGGAAGGAAAGAAAUAAGAAUAAUAAAUAUUUAUGGGCAUAGUAUUUUUUUAAUAAUAUUGUUAAACAAAAUAUAGAAUGUGAUUUUUUUUGUUGUUAAAAUUAUGUAUAUAUAGUUGGGAAAUUAUAGACAAAUAGUAUGUCAACCUUUAUUUUAGGGGAAAUUGUAUAUCAGCCUAACUUAAGUUAUAUUUAAGAACAACGCUUAAAAAAAAUGGUCUAAUGUUUAAAAAAAUUUAAUCUUUAUUGAAUUCAUGAACAUCGUUGGAUUAAACAGAGUUGAUUGAUUGUACAAAAACAAAGUUGGUUGAUAAGUGAAAUACUAGCAUAAAAAAGCAAAUUUAAGGUGAGUUUUGAAAACAGGGACAACUCAAAUCAGAUUACCAACUCAUAGAGAUUAUUAUUUUGCAACGACAUUUUUUUCUCUUUUGCAAUUUAAAAUAUAUAGAAUAUAAAGAGUUGGCCAUCACAUUGGACUAUUUUGGGGUUAUAACUAAUGUAGGCAACCAAAUGCUUUUGUCAAAGUGAAACACAGGAAGUUGAACUAACUUAAAAUUGCAAAAGCUCUUAUAGUUCUCCAAACAACUCUCCUUCAAAUCUCUCUCACUCUAUAUAAGACCAUCCACUACCCCUUUCCUUCUCAUCAAAUCCAAAAGCAAAUUCUCUCUAUACAAAUACAGUCCUUAGCUCCUACAAUUCAUCAAGUUAUCAAUGGCCUCAACCAAAUCCUUCAUUGCAACUUUACUUCUUGUUGUCACAAUGUCAAGCAUGAGCCUAGAAGCUCGCCAUCUUUUGCAAACUACCACACAACCAAAUUUACCAGCCAUUCCCACUUUACCAAAACCAACAACAUUACCACCUUUACCUUCAAUUCCAAAUAUGCCUCAAGGAAAUCUUCCUCCAUUGCCUACUAUCCCUUCUAUGCCUAAACUCACUAUGCCACCACUUCCAAGUCUUCCUACAAAUAUUCCAACAAUUCCAUCUCUCAACAUUCCACCAUUGCCAGCAGUCACUUCACUUCCAAACCUUCCUUCAAUCCCAACCACUUUCCCCUCCCCACCACCUUCAACCUCUAGCCCUUAAACACUUCUUUCCAAGUUGCAUUAUGUGAUCAGCUAAAUACAUGCAAUAGACAUUGCAUCAUUUCUUGAUUGUGUGUGAUGAAAUUGUACGAGGUUAUGAUGAUUGUUGUAUCUUUGUUUUAUUGUACGGAGUAAAAAGCCUUUGUAUUUUUUUCUUUUCUACUUACCAGUUUGGUACUAUUGCUUGUACUUUUGAAUUUAAUUUAUUGAUGUUGAAUACACAUACACAUUUAUAUACAAUUAUGAUGAAUUCUUUCUUGUUUAUGACCACUAUAUCUCAUAAAGGAUAGACUAAACUUAAUAAUUUGCGGUCCAAUAACAAACAGAUUCGCCUAUGUUAGCCAAUUUAUAUAGUGAACUGUUCUCUUUCCAUUUGUUUUUGUUCAUUCACCUCGAACAUGAGUUAACUCAAGUUGAAAAAUACACCUACGUGAGUUAACUCACGUUGAAAAUGCACAUGUGUGAGUUAACUUACGCUCGGUUAUUUUGAUGGGAACGAGCAAAAACAGAUAGGAGAAGGGCGAUAACCAUUUAUAUAAGGCACUUUCUUUUUCUCAUCCUAUUAAUUUAAGAUCAUCCACAAGAGAGCACCCCACAUUGGGUGCUUAAGUGAGUCCCCUAUGUCCACAUCAUCAAUUUUAUGAUAAUACUUAAUAAGCAUCAAUUUUUUCCAAUCGAGUACCUCAAAAGAAAUUAUUAAAAGGUCCCACAAAUAACUCUAUAUUAUUACAUUUCUACCAAAAUUUAUUCAUUUUACUAAGAUUUAUUAGAUGGGACCCAUGAAAAAUGAAGAGAGAGAGAGAGGGGUGGAGGGUGCUUCUAUAGCCACCCUCCUCCAUAGACACCCAUAUGUUACACUCCACAAUGAGGGUGCUUAUUUAAUAUGGUGCACGUGCUAAAUAGGUGAAACACCCACCAUUGUGGAUGGUCUUACACAUCCUAUAGAUUUCGGAUUUUAUAAAUCGUAUGAUUUUAUAAAAAUACGACACCUGACACCCCUAUAAUAUGGGAGAGGAUCCAAUUCCUUGAUGAGGAAUGAUUUAUGGACACAUUUUUCAAACACAAACACCUAAAGCAUACGAUUAAAGAGCUCCUUUAUAUGAAGCAUAGACCACCCACUCUUGUUUCUUUUCAUUAUGAAAUUAUGAAAAGAUAACAAGAGGAUGAUUAAUAAGCCCAAUCUGUUAUUUUAUUUUUUAAUUUUAUUCACUUAUUUUAUUUUUAUCACUUUAUAUUAGUUUUUCACAUAAAAUUUCAUUUCCUUAUAAAAUUUUGUGUAAUCAUUACUUGAUCAAAAAUAACAUAUUAUAUUUAUAAGAUAAGAUUUUUAUUUUUAUAAUCCUUAAUCAAUGCCAUGAGGGCACUGGAAAGCAAAUAUGUAGAAUUUUUAAUGGAUUAAAAAUCGAAUAAAUUUUUAACCCUUUUUUUUAAGCCAAAUUAUUAGUAUUAAAAGAAACUUUUUAAGUCAGUUGCUUUGAGACAAAAAUGAAAAAUUUAUCUAUAUUUUCGUCCUCUUCCUUGAAAGUCUUUCACUAAUCCGGUAAAUAUAAUUAGUUUGUAAAUUAGCAUUGGACAGAAGGAAAUAAUAAAGUGGUAAAUGUCUUUCACUCCCCUCCCGUGUGAAGUUAGUGUAGCACGGGGACGGGUUCAAUCAAUCAUUCAUUCAUUUUAAUCAAUUCUUCACCCCAUUCUAACACAUGUUUUUCAGGAUAGAACCAACCAUGUCAUCAACAGCACAAUCCCAAUAAAACCCCAAUUCACCACAAUUACCAAACUCUCCUCUCCUCUCCUCUCGCCACUGUCAACUGACACUGAUGACGUAAAAUUCCACCAUUAUCAUCAAAACUCCAUUAUCGUCAAUUCACCACCACCACCGCUAUGGAGGGUGGAAACAGAGCUGAAGCUGAACGGUGGCUUUACACCGCCAACAAACUCCUAAGCGCACGUGAUCUGCACGGUGCACGCUCCUUCGCGAUCCGUGCCCGAGAAUCCGACCCAACCUUCGACGCCUCUGAGCUUCUCUUAGCUGUCAUCGACACUCUCCUCGCCGGAGAAUCACGGAUCAAUGAUCACCACCGUGAUUGGUACGGAAUUCUUCAAAUUCUCCGAUACACCACCAACAUCGACCACAUCGCGAAUCAGUAUCGCCGACUUGCUCUCCUCCUUGACCCUAAUCGUAACCCAUUCGCUUUCUCCGGUCAUGCUUUCUCCCUUGUUCAUGAUGCUUGGUCUGUUCUUUCAAAUCCUGCUAAGAAAGCUAUGUACGAUAGUGAUCUAAGGUUGCUCACUACACCACCGGUUCCGUCACAGCCUCAGCCACAACUGGCUCCUCAGUAUCAACAACCUCCACAACAGCCACUGCAGCAGCCUCCACAGCCAACGCCGAGGAAAAACUCUAGAUCGAGGGAUAGCACUGGCGCCACCGCCACCGAGCCGACACUGUCUCGACAGAAUCGGAACCCUAGCGAGGCAGGUGAGACGACUCGGCAGACGCGAAUAGCGAGUGCUGCUGAAACGGUAGGUAACAUAAGUUUUUGGACAUUGUGCCCUUACUGUUACGUUCACUAUGAGUAUCCGAAGGAGUAUGAAGAUUGUACCUUACGGUGUCAGAGUUGUCGGAGGGGGUUUCAUGCGGUUGUGAUACGUUCACCGCCGGUGAAUGAGAUAGAUUCUUCGUUUUGUACUUGGGGAUUUUUUCCAUUAGGGUUUUCUGGUGAUUCUAAAGAUUUGAAUGGGGCUUCUUCCAAUUGGAACCCUAUUGCACCGUUGUUUCCGUGUACGAUGAAAGGAUCGUCUAAUAGGAAAAAGAAUUGGGUUUAUUAUGAUGAAGAGGCAACUGCGGCGUUUAUUGAUAUUUCUGAUCCCAGUGAUAAUGAUUCUGAUGAUGGGGAUUGGAGAGGUGGUGCUGGUAAGAGGAGAGGGGUGAAGAGCUCAGGGGUUAGUACUAGUAAAAAGAUUAGGAAAGAUUCCGGUAAUGCUAGUGGUAGGGGAGCUGUUGGGAGACCUAGGAGGAGUGCUACUGGUGCUGCAUCUGGGAAUGAGAAGAAUGUUGGGGCUGUUGAUGAUGCUUCUGCCGCUGCCUCUGGUGUAAGGGCAGAUGCCAAUACCAUUAAGAAAGCUGCACUGGGUAGUUCCAGGAGGAGGGGUGCUGGAAACUUGGAUUUGAAUGUGGAGUUCAGUAAUGAUGUGGAGGAGCCGUCCCGUGGAGUGCGUGCCCGUGAAGGGAAUGCAACUGGCAAUGCUGAGGAUAAUAUUGAUGGGGUUGGGUUUUUUGAGGGUCUUGAUGAGUUCCUUAGUAGCUUACCCAUUCUCAAUCCGGUGGGAGAUGAUAAGGUUAAGGGUCAUUAGCCAUUUUGUAAUUUAGAUGCUUUUACUUUUUUAUUUUCGUAGACCAUAGAUGUUAUUACUUGUAUGUUUGCAAUUGUAGCUCAAAAUGAUCUGAGCUAUUGUGAAUUCUUGUUGUUGUUAGAUUUUAUUUAAAAUUAUGACAGCAUCUCAGUACAUUAUAGCUUUUGAAGUAUUUGAGGAUUGCUUCAUGACAUGUAGAUUAUAUUGUACCAUUAAGGAAGGAGACAUAGAUUGUUUUUUUUUUAAAGAAAGUCAGGUACACACUCUCUCAAUAACAGGGCAAUAAUGAGUGUAUUUCGGAGUUUUACCUAGCCCUAAACUCCGCUUUGUAUGCGCGGCAAUCCAGAUAAUAAUAUAUACAUUUGUAUUGUCUGAUCUGAUUGUGCUCUACACUAUGCUUGUUAGCAACUAUUUUGUACACAACAUUCACCAUCACAUGCUAGUUUUUUUUUUUUUUUUUGGAUAUUUUGUUUUUAUUUAGCUCUGUUGUUUUCUUCUUGAGUGUUGUGUGGUGUGGCUUUGCUCUGUUGUAAGUUUGAGGUCACCAGCAAGUCUAGUCUUCUUUUCGUUUCAUCACAUCCUUUUCAAGUCUGUUUGGUCCAGGCUUGAAAACACCAAGCCUUUGUUUUAAAAGGCAGUUUCUGGGUGCAGUGAUAUCUGUUAGGUCAUUGGUCUUGUUAGGCUGUUAGCCAAUGUUUUAGCAUUUUCAACUGCUAACAGUUUAACCAACUUGCAUUUGCUUGUGUCUCCAAUAUGACAUUGGUUUUUUCAGCUAAUUUUGAAUUGCUGGGUUUAUGGAUCAUGGUUUUUCUAUUUCCAAAAUUUUAGUGGAUGAGUAAUGAUUUUUCAGUUUAAACAUUAGGUUCUGAAUCCUGAUGAAGCAUUUUGCCAGGUGCUAAUAAGCAAUUUAUUUAGAGUUAUUUUCUUGACUGCAAUCGUAAAUGAGGUCAGAAUAAGUUGUAUGCUCUAUCGGCAUUACAUAAGGUGUCAUCUACAAUAAUACCUUAUCAUGAACAGGGAUCUUCGAAGGUGUUUAAUGAAUAUUUGAAAGAAUCACCUUUGUUCAAUGGUGUGUUUUGUUAAUUUGCCGGCAUUUCAUGUAGGGAUGUGGUGGAUAUUAUCUUUGUAUAGAUGGUUUAUAUUCUGUCUUAACUAAAUGGUACAAUAUUCUUAUAUGUUGUGCUCUAACUCAGUAGCAUACUAGGUCUAAGCAAAGAAUACAUCUUUGUGAGGCCCCUAAAUAGAUUGAAGAAACAUAAGAACAUUGAGAUUCCUUGUUACUUGUUCUCACAUUUGAAAGAAAGGUUGUUAGGGGCAACGUCUAUAGUGGAGAAAAUACAAGCACUUAUAUGCUGUGUUCUAAGAAGCAUACUGGGUCUAAGCAAAAUAUAUAUCUCUGUGAGGCACCUAAAUAGAUUGAAGAUACAUAGGAGCAUAUAGAUUUGGCAUCUAUUGUUGAGAAGAUCAUAGAAUCUCAAACUAAGUGAUUUGGGUAAGUGUAAAGUUCUAUAUAAGCCCUGUAAGGAGAGGCAGAGGGAGACCUUGAAGCUUGAAGAAUAUAAAUCAAUCCACUUAGCUUAUGUUUGGUGAGUUGCAUGGACGUAUGUCGUCACCGUGACUUUUCAUUCUUCAAAACAUACACUAAGAAGAAUUUGGAUCCAAAUGGUAAAAACUCAUCCUCGUAGGACAUUAUGACAUCAUUUUAUACACACACUAUAGAACGACACAAUGAAUGUAUAUUAUUUAUUCUGCAUAUUUGUAUGCUGUUUGCAUGUUGUUUAUUCUAGCCUAUAUGUAUGUGUCUUGCUGUGAAUAUGAAGGAUUGUGUUAGAACAUCCUAAACUACACUUCAAGCAUGUUGAUUUGAAAUUAUUUAUCUCAGUAUGCUGAACGCUUAGGUACCCUGAAAGUACCAACAAUCGGUUUAUUUCUGGGUUUUACUACUCUGUAUAUGGCCACACUAGUUUAAGUAGAUUGUUAGACAUUGCUUUGCAAAGAAAAUGGUUGUAAAUCUGUGUAUGGCAUCUAUUGAAGACAAAAUAUAUUCGUCCUAUAAUACUUGUCUCUUCUAAUUUUUUUGGGUGCAUAAUUAAUGCCUCUGUUUGAAGGAUGCGUAUCUCCUGCAGUCUCAAAAACACUGUAUUUACACAAUCAAGUUAUCCUCCUCCAACGAUGCACAUUAGUUUGUUUGUUGUUAUAAGAGUUUAAAAGAAGACAUUGUAGCUGUAUCUAAAUGUGUAAUUCAACAUCAAUAAUAUAAAAUUCAAUAGUACAAGCAAUAGUGCCAAACUGGUAAGUAGAAAGAAAGAAAACAAAUACAAAGGCUUUUUACUCCGUACAAUACAACAAAGAUACUACAAUCAUCAUAACCUCGUAGAAUUUCAUCACACACAAUCAAGAAAUGAUACAAUGUCUAUUGCAAGUAUUUAGCUGAUCGCAUAAUGCAACUUGGAAAGAAGUGUUUAAGGGCUAGAUGUUGAAGGUGGUGGGGAGGGGAAAGUGGUUGGGAUUGAAGGAAUGUUGGGAAGUGAAGUGGCUGCUGGCAAUGGUGGAAUGUUGAGAGAUGGAAUUGUUGGAAAAUUUGUAGGAAAGCUAGGAAGUGGUGGCAUAGUGAGUUUAGGCAUAGAAGGGAUAGUAGGCAAUGGAGGAAGAUUUCCCUGAGGCAUAUUUGGAAUUGAAGGCAAAGGUGGUAAUGUAGUUGGAUUUGGUAAAUUGGGAAUGUUAGGCAAAUUUGGUUGUGUUGUCUGUAAAAGAUGGCGAGCUUCUAGGCUCAUGCUUGACAUGGUCACAACAAGAAGUAAAGCUAUGAUGAAGGAUUUGCUUGAUGCCAUUGAUAACCUUAUGAAUUGAUAGGAGCUAAGCAGUAUAUUUGUAU
rnacentral:lncRNA from 1 species